UGGGGAAUUUUGGACAAUGGGGGAAACCCUGAUCCAGCCAUCCCGCGUGUGCGAUGAAGGCCUUCGGGUUGUAAAGCACUUUUGGCAGGAAAGAAACGUCAUGGGUUAAUACCCCGUGAAACUGACGGUACCUGCAGAAUAAGCACCGGCUAACUACGUGCCAGCAGCCGCGGUAAUACGUAGGGUGCAAGCGUUAAUCGGAAUUACUGGGCGUAAAGCGUGCGCAGGCGGUUCGGAAAGAAAGAUGUGAAAUCCCAGAGCUCAACUUUGGAACUGCAUUUUGAACUACCGUGCUAGAGUGUGUCAGAGGGAGGUGGAAUUCCGCGUGUAGCAGUGAAAUGCGUAGAUAUGCGGAGGAACGCCGAUGGCGAAGGCAGCCUCCUGGGAUAACACUGACGCUCAUGCACGAAAGCGUGGGGAGCAAACAGG
rnacentral:rRNA from 1 species